UAGUUAGUGUUUAGAGUUAGCUUUUGGUUUGGCUUCCAAAGCUGUUGUUUUCUAGUUUAGCUUUUAGAGUUAUUUUUUUUUUUUGGUUUGGCUUCCAGAGCUUUUAUUUUCUUGGUUUAGUGUUUAGAGUUAGCUUUUUGGUUUGGCUUCCAGAGCUUUUAUUUUCUCAGUUUAGUGCUUAGAGUCGGCCUUGUCAUCCAGAGUCACAACUCCUGGCGUUCAUGUCCACUGGCAUUGCGCAUCUUACCUUCAUGGUCUUGCAUUCGUCCUCGGCUUUCCUCACUUCGUUACCCGGUGUUUAUCGCAUAUUCAUCUCGUACUCCAGGGUGGUUCGACCGUUACUCAUCUUUGACGUUGAUCUCUUGGGUCACUUUUGGAGACAUCUUAGAGAAAGUGUGGAUCCUUGAUGCAAACUUAGAGGCGUUUUGAGAUGCGUUUUUCUUUUAGGGUUAGAGCCUUUGUGUUCAUCUGUUUGGCUUGAGUGAGUUCUUAUUUUACUAGUGUCCCUGUGGGGGUCUCUUUGGUUCUUCGGUAGAGUUCACUUCAUUACACUCAUUAUUCACACUUUCUUUUCACUCUAGUGUUCAUAUUCCUUACAUUUGUAAACUCUACCGAAGAGGGGCAUAUUUGUAGACCCCCUCAACUGGGGGCAGGUUUUUUUUUUUUUUUUGCAUUUUUUGCAUUGAUUUUCUUUUUUUUUUCUCCUUUUUUGCUGCUUUCUUUAUCCACCCGAGGACGGCUGGAAGCGAAAACGGGGGGAGAAGGCAGAGCUUUUGGGCUGGCAGAUGGGACGGGGAUACGGCUGGCUUGCUGAGGAAGACACGAGAGAAAAGAAGAAGGAGAGAAAGGAAGGGAAUCCGGGGGGGAGAGAGGAGGAGCUCGGAGGGAAAAACAGAGGAAGCUGAGGGAUUUUAGAGGUUGCAAGAAGGAAGAUAUCCGGGAGGAAAACGAGAAAGGAAAAGGAUCUGAGGAUCCACUCACCCUGACUUCUCUGGGUUCAGAGUUUCCAGGCUUCAAAAGUAAUUUUGCUCGAAACCCGGCCUUCCACUGCAAAAAAAAAUGAUUCUAUAUGCCUUGGUUGUCUUUGAAUUUCCCCCGGUUUUCGACGCUGCGGGGGCCGCGAAGUGUGGGCAUCUGUGGGUGAUUCUAUCAUUUUCAGCUCGUCUCUUGCCUUGAUAGUUAAUAUAAUUUUUGCGUUUGACGUUGAAUGUUGUGUGUGCAUCUUUGGGUGAUUUUGUCAUGUUCAGUUCAGAUGUCGUUUUCAUAGUUGAUAUUUUCAGUUUUGAUGUUGAAGAUUGGUGAUAUAUAGUGUAUCUCUGUAGAAAUAAAUACUGUGGAAUUCUGUAAUAAUUCUUGUGGAAGAAGGAGAGUGUGAGGGAAAAGAUUAUUUAAUUGGUUGCAAAAAGUUAAUGGCCACGUGCAAGCCAAAGGAAUGUUCUUGGGGUAACAAUAAAAAAACCCCAAGCCUCUUUAUGGUCCAGGUGUUAGCAUAUAAGACAUGAGUUUUAUCU